GAUGAACGCUGGCGGCGUGCCUAAUACAUGCAAGUCGAGCGAACAGAUAAGGAGCUUGCUCCUUUGACGUUAGCGGCGGACGGGUGAGUAACACGUGGGUAACCUACCUAUAAGACUGGAAUAACUCCAGGAAACCGGGGCUAAUGCCGGAUAACAUUUAGAACCGCAUGGUUCUAAAGUGAAAGAUGGUUUUGCUAUCACUUAUAGAUGGACCCGCGCCGUAUUAGCUAGUUGGUAAGGUAACGGCUUACCAAGGCAACGAUACGUAGCCGACCUGAGAGGGUGAUCGGCCACACUGGAACUGAGAUACGGUCCAGACUCCUACGGGAGGCAGCAGUAGGGAAUCUUCCGCAAUGGGCGAAAGCCUGGCGGAGCAACGCCGCGUGAGUGAUGAAGGUCUUCGGAUCGUAAAACUCUGUUAUUAGGGAAGAACAAAUGUGUAAGUAACUGUGCACGUCUUGACGGUACCUAAUCAGAAAGCCACGGCUAACUACGUG
rnacentral:rRNA from 1 species